AUUGAACGCUGGCGGCAUGCUUUACACAUGCAAGUCGAACGGUAACAGGGAGCUUGCUCCGCUGACGAGUGGCGAACGGGUGAGUAAUAUAUCGGAACGUACCCAAGAGUGGGGGAUAACGUAGCGAAAGUUACGCUAAUACCGCAUACGAUCUACGGAUGAAAGUGGGGGAUCGCAAGACCUCAUGCUCCUGGAGCGGCCGAUAUCUGAUUAGCUAGUUGGGGAGGUAAAGGCUCACCAAGGCGACGAUCAGUAGCUGGUCUGAGAGGACGACCAGCCACACUGGAACUGAGACACGGUCCAGACUCCUACGGGAGGCAGCAGUGGGGAAUUUUGGACAAUGGGCGCAAGCCUGAUCCAGCAAUGCCGCGUGAGUGAAGAAGGCCUUCGGGUUGUAAAGCUCUUUUGUCAGGGAAGAAACGGGAGUGGCUAAUAUCCAUUCCUAAUGACGGUACCUGAAGAAUAAGCACCGGCUAACUACGUGCCAGCCGCCGCCGUAA
rnacentral:rRNA from 1 species